rnacentral:rRNA from 1 species
GUCUUUUUGAUUAUAAUUUAAAGUCUAACCUGCCCAAUGAGUAUUAAAUGGCCGCGGUAUUUUGACCGUGCAAAGGUAGCAUAAUCAUUAGUUUUUUAAUUAAAAGCUGGAAUGAAUGGUUGGACGAGAAAAUUACUGUCUCAAUUUAAUUUAAUUAGAAUUUUAUUUUUAAGUUAAAAAGCUUAAAUUAAUUUAAAAGACGAGAAGACCCUAUAGAGUUUAAUAUUUUAAAUAAUUAUAAUUUUUAUAAAUUUUACAAUUUUUUAAAAUAUUUUAUUGGGGUGAUAAAUAAAUUUAUUAAACUUUAUUUUAUUUUUUACAUAAAUAAAUGAGUAAGUGAUCCAUUAUUGAUGAUUAUAAGAUUAAAUUACCUUAGGGAUAACAGCGUAAUUUUUUUAGAGAGUUCAAAUCGAAAAAAAAGAUUGCGACCUCGAUGUUGGAUUAAAGUUAAUUUUUGGUGUAGAAGCUAAAAUAUUAAGUCUGUUCGACUUUUAAAACUUUACAUGAUCUGAGUUUAAACCGGCGUGAGCCAGGUUGGUUUCUAUCUUUAAAUAAAUAAAAUAUUUUAGUACGAAAGGACCAAAUAUUUAUAAUAAUUAUUUAUUUUUGAAUAU